GCUCCCGUAGCAAAGUGGCAAUGCGUCGUGCUUAUAGGUAGUACCCUAUACUUGAGCAACGCGAAGGUCGCGAGUUCGAUCCUCGCCGGGAGCA